rnacentral:rRNA from 1 species
CCCUUAGAUGUUCUGGGCUGCACGCGCGCUACACUGAUGCACUCAACGAGUUUACGACCUUGCCCGAUAGGGUUGGGUAAUCUUUUUAAAAUGCAUCGUGAUGGGGAUAGAUUAUUGCAAUUAUUAAUCUUCAACGAGGAAUUCCUAGUAAGCGCGAGUCAUCAGCUCGUGCUGAUUACGUCCCUGCCCUUUGUACACACCGCCCGUCGCUACUACUGAUUGGGUGUUCAAGUGAGAUGCUUAGACCCUUGUUGCAUGGUUCAUUAUUGUGCUCCGAAAGGAAAAAGUUUCAAGCUUGAGUGUCUAGAGGAAGUAAAAGUCGUAACA